GGCCGGCUGGCGCAAUGGUAGCGCGUCAGACUUCUACUGUCUCUUCCGAGAUGUAGCGAUCUGAAGGCUGCGGGUUCGAGCCCCGCGUUGGUCA
rnacentral:tRNA from 2 species